CAAAGUGAAGAAAUUCAAC
rnacentral:snRNA from 1 species